UACGUAGGGUCCGAGCGUUGUCCGGAAUUACUGGGCGUAAAGAGCUCGUAGGUGGUUUGUCGCGUUGUCCGUGAAAACUCACAGCUCAACUGUGGGCGUGCGGGCGAUACGGGCAGACUGGAGUACUGCAGGGGAGACUGGAAUUCCUGGUGUAGCGGUGGAAUGCGCAGAUAUCAGGAGGAACACCGGUGGCGAAGGCGGGUCUCUGGGCCUUACCUGACACUGAGGAGCGAAAGCGUGGGGAGCGAACAGG
rnacentral:rRNA from 1 species